GUGAGGAAUUUUCCGCAAUGGGCGAAAGCCUGACGGAGCAAUGCCGCGUGAAGGAUGAAGGCCUUCGGGUCGUAAAGCUCUGUUGCAGGGGAAUAAAAAAAUGAAGGUACCCUGUGAGGAAGGAUCGGCUAACUUCGUGCCAGCAGCCGCGGUAAGACGAGGGAUCCUAGCGUUGCUCGGAAUCAUUGGGCGUAAAGAGGGCGUAGGUGGCUUGGUAAGUCAGGUGUGAAAGCCCAGGGCUCAACCCUGGAAGUGCAUUUGAUACUGCUGAGCUUGAGUGUCGGAGAGGUUACCGGAAUACCUGGUGUAGUGGUGAAAUACGUAGAUAUCAGGUGGAACACCGGAGGCGAAGGCGGGUAACUGGACGAACACUGACACUGAGGCCCGAAAGCGUGGGGAUCAAACAGGAUUAGAUACCCCUGUAGUCC
rnacentral:rRNA from 1 species